UACGAAGGGGGCUAGCGUUGCUCGGAAUCACUGGGCGUAAAGCGCACGUAGGCGGGUUGUUAAGUCGGGGUGAAAUCCUGGAGCUCAACUCCAGAACUGCCUUCGAUACUGGCGACCUUGAGUCCGGGAGAGGUGAGUGGAACUCCGAGUGUAGAGGUGAAAUUCGUAGAUAUUCGGAAGAACACCAGUGGCGAAGGCGGCUCACUGGCCCGGUACUGACGCUGAGGCGCGAAAAGCGUGGGGAGCAAACAGG
rnacentral:rRNA from 1 species